UACAGAGGGUGCAAGCGUUAAUCGGAAUAACUGGGCGUAAAGGGCGCGUAGGUGGCGUGAUAAGUUUUAGGCGAAAGACUGGGGCUUAACCCUGGGGAGACCUAGAAAACUGUUGUGCUAGAGUUCGGGAGAGGGGAGCGGAAUUUCCGGUGUAGCGGUGAAAUGCGUAGAUAUCGGAAGGAACAUCAGUGGCGAAGGCGGCUCCCUGGCCUAGAACUGACGCUGAGGCGCGAAAGCGUGGGGAGCAAACAGG
rnacentral:rRNA from 1 species